UUUUGGACAAUGGGGGCAACCCUGAUCCAGCAAUGCCGCGUGAGUGAAGAAGGCCUUCGGGUUGUAAAGCUCUUUUGUCAGGGAAGAAACACCGGCUCUAACACAGUCCGGGAAUGACGGUACCUGAAGAAUAAGCACCGGCUAACUACGUGCCAGCAGCCGCGGUAAUACGUAGGGUGCAAGCGCUAAUCGGAAUUACUGGGCGUAAAGCGUGCGCAGGCGGUUAUACAAGACAGGCGUGAAAUCCCCGGGCUUAACCUGGGAAUGGCGCCUGUGACUGUAUAGCUAGAGUGUGUCAGAGGGGGGUAGAAUUCCACGUGUAGCAGUGAGAUGCGUAGAUAUGUGGAGGAAUACCAAUGGCGAAGGCAGCCCCCUGGGAUGACACUGACGCUCAUGCACGAG
rnacentral:rRNA from 1 species